UGAGUGCGAGCUGCUACGGCAGCGAAGUGGGUGACGUCAAGCUUCCAAGAAAAGCCCUAGACCCGUUAAGGCAUGAUUGCCUGUACCCGAAACCGACACAGGUGGGGUGGUAGAGAAUACCGAGGGGCGCGAGGUAACUCUCUCUAAGGAACUCGGCAAAAUGGCCCCGUAACUUCGGGAGAAGGGGUGCCAGCGAGAGCUGGUCGCAGUGAAGAGGCCCAGGCGACUGUUUACCAAAAACACAGGUCUCCGCUAAGUCGCAAGACGAUGUAUGGGGGCUGACGCCUGCCCAGUGCCGGAAGGUUAAGGAAGCUGGUCAGCGCAAGCGAAGCUGGCGACUGAAGCCCCGGUGAACGGCGGCCGUAACGAUAACGGUCCUAAGGUAGCGAAAUUCCUUGUCGGGUAAGUUCCGACCCGCACGAAAGGCGUAACGAUCUGGGCGCUGUCUCGGAGAGAGGCUCGGCGAAAUAGAAUUGUCUGUGAAGAUGCGGACUACGUGCACCCGGACAGAAAGACCCUAUGAAGCUUUACUGUAGCUUGGUAUUGUGCUCGGGCUCGGAAUGCGCAGGAUAGGUGGGAGGCAUUGAUCCAUUGCUUGCGGGUGAUGGUGAGCCACUGGUGAGAUACCACUCUUUUCGAGCUUAAGUUCUAACGGCCACCCGUUAUCCGGGGGCCGGACAGUAUCAGGUGGGCAGUUUGACUGGGGCGGUCGCCUCCUAAAAGGUAACGGAGGCGCGCAAAGGUCUGCUCAGGCUGGUUGGAAAUCAGCCGACGAGUGUAAAAGCAGAAGCAGGCUUGACUGUGAGACCUACAAGUCGAACAGGGAGGAAACUCGGCUUUAGUGAUCCGACGGUUCUGCGUGGAAGGGCCGUCGCUCAACGGAUAAAAGUUACUCUAAGGAUAACAGGCUGAUCUCCCCCAAGAGUUCACAUCGACGGGGAGGUUUGGCACCUCGAUGUCGGCUCAUCGCAACCUGGGGCUGAAGUCGGUCCCAAGGGUUGGGCUGUUCGCCCAUUAAAGCGGUACGCGAGCUGGGUUCAGAACGUCGUGAGACAGUUCGGUCCAUAUCCGGUGCACGCGCAGGAAUAUUGAGAGGAUUUCUCCCUAGUACGAGAGGACCGGGAGGAACGCACCUCUGGUGUGCCAGUUAUCGUGCCAACGGUAAACGCUGGGUAGCCAUGUGCGGAGAGGAUAACCGCUGAAAGCAUCUAAGUGGGAAGCCCACCUCAAGAUGAGUAUUCCCAUGGCGUUAAGCCAGUAAGGUCACGGGAAGAACACCCGUUGAUAGGCUCUAUGUGGAAGCGCAGUAAUGCGUGAAGCAGAGGAGUACUAAUAGACCGAGGGCUU
rnacentral:rRNA from 1 species